GUGUCAGCCGCCGCGGUAAUACAGAGGUCUCAAGCGUUGUUCGGAUUCAUUGGGCGUAAAGGGUGCGUAGGCGGUGAUGUAAGUUGGAUGUGAAAUCCCGGAGCUUAACUCCGGAACUGCAUUCAAUACUGCGUUGCUAGAGUACUGGAGAGGAGAUUGGAAUUCACGGUGUAGCAGUGAAAUGCGUAGAUAUCGUGAGGAAGACCAGUGGCGAAGGCGAAUCUCUGGACAGUUACUGACGCUGAGGCACGAAGGCCAGGGGAGCAAACGGGAUUAGAUACCCGUGUAGUCC
rnacentral:rRNA from 1 species